AAAAAAAAAUGUGAACAGGCGCUCCCGGCACUUUUGGCGAAGGACAAGAGGAGCGUGAUCGCGCUCCCAGGCACUCUAGGGGUUAAGCUGUGCGUGCUCACUUUGUCAUUACCUGGGCAAAUUUCCUUAACUAUAAAAUAAAAGUCUUAAACUAAAAAAAAAAAUCCUGUAUCUCUGGAUCCUAUGUGUAAGGGCUUGAUACUUUUAGCUUAGAGCAUGUUGACCAAAAAAGCUUUAUUUAAGAGGAAAUGCCUUACAAAAUCCAAGUUCCUGCCAAACUAAGAUUCCUUCUAGAGAGGUAUCUGAAUCAACCCACUUUAUCAAGAAUUACUUAAUGAGGCCAAAAGAAAGGCCACACCACACCUCUAAGCAGUAGACGACUGAAAUAGAUUUUGUCAUUUUUCACAGAGGAAAAGAGCUACCUGCUUCUCCCAAAAGUAUGAAACCUACGGAACAAGGGUAUCUCUAUUGCUUCAUCUUCACAGAAAAGCAGGGGGUAAUUUCUACCUAAUGACAUAUAAUUUCAAAAGAAAUCCUCAAAUAAAGAAGGAAAGACAUUCCUAGUUUCUUGGUAGUAGGUGAACACGUUGCUGUCACAGUUUUAACUGCAUUAGUGUGCCUCUGUUUUCCAUUUGCUCUUCCCCUAUUGAAUAUGCAAAUUCAAAUUACUUAUUCAUGUACUACGAUAAGAGGAUAUAUGCCUGAGUAAAGGUUAAGAAAGAUAAAGAAUGUCAUUACUGCUAUAAAAAUUCCUUGACAGUGAACACUUUCUGCUCCUCUCUGGCAAGCGUCCCGGCAGCAUGAUGCCACUCCCAGGGUAAGGUGACCAUUUGCUGGGUGACAGAAAUCUUAAUGUUUGCUUUUCCUCAGCACUGGAUUCUCUCUUUGUGGGAACUGAACAAAAGUACUAGUCCUCUACCCUGAGAUUUGUUAUGAGAGAAACUCCAUUUAAGAAUGAACUAAAUGUUUUUGAAGUCAGGGUUGCCAUUGCUUAAAUACUUAAAAAGAAAAGAAAAGAAAAGAAAUUCUCCAAAAUCAGACUUAUACCUUUUCUAUACUUCUAUUAUAUGACUAUUAUACCACUAGUCAUGUUUCUCUA